UGGGGAAUAUUGGGCAAUGGACGCAAGUCUGACCCAGCAACGCCGCGUGAAGGAAGAAGGCUUUCGGGUUGUAAACUUCUUUUAAGGGGGAACAGUAGAAGAGGGUACCCCUUGAAUAAGCCACGGCUAACUACGUGCCAGCAGCCGCGGUAAUACGUAGGUGGCAAGCGUUGUCCGGAUUUACUGGGUGUAAAGGGCGUGCAGCCGGAGAGACAAGUCAGAUGUGAAAUCCGCGGGCUUAACCCGCGAACUGCAUUUGAAACUGUUCUUCUUGGAGUA
rnacentral:rRNA from 1 species